GUUUUUGAACCGAAGUUCAGCAUAAAAGCAGCUCAAUGUUCAAUGGUCUACCCAAUGAAAGACAAAAAGAAUUUCUACGGUAGCUAUUAUGACAUAAAAAGUCCAACUACAUAAAGCCCCAUGUAACCAACGUUCAGCAUAAAAUGAGCCCACAUUCCAUUAAUAUACAUAUUUUAAAAACAAAAAAAUAAAAAUUCUAGAGUGACUAUUAGCGCGCAAGGAGUGAAAACAUUUAAGAGCCCCAUGCAGCAUUCGCAUGCAAAUAGACGUAGACAUCCAUUUGAAAAGAUCAUGUGAGAUGAUCAUGAAAAGAAACUGAUUAUAGCAUCAUUCCCAAGUGAUUUUGAUAAGAAGCUAAUUAGAUGAUCAUCAAAAUAUUAAACAAAAAAUAUAUAUAUAUAUAUUUAUGUCUCCAACUUCUAUAUACAUCACUAGUGCUCUCUAAUUAACUUACAAAAUUAAAUGCAAAAGUGUAAGACAAAUUCCUAGCAAGCUUAUAUUUAUCAUGUUAUUCGUGACUAAAUCAAUAAUGUAAUAAAUAGACUGAGCCUACUUUAAAAUCUCUCAAAGCAUUAACUCUUAAUUUCGUAUGAUACUGCUAAUUUCACAAUUUUUCAAUCCGUCUCUGGUUGAAUCUUCCUGAAACGGCAGCUGCAAGUGCUGCUGUGAAGUUCGGAUCUCUUGUCAAGGAAGAAGCCAUUUGUUGGGCCAAAAUCUGUUGGAUUGCUGGAGCUUCAGUAUCUUGAACUAAUUUUUUAGCAUUCUCCAGCGUUCCAUUUUGGAUCAAGUCAAGAGUUACAGUAGCAGCAGGGCCUGAAGCUCUCAUAGGGGUCGCAGUGGGAAUUGGACCUGCUACACUUGAACUGUGUUGGCUCGAGCCUAAAGACAAUUCCGGCUGCGAAAGGUGCACGUGGUUGUGCUCUCCUUCAUAGGUUGCUACCAAGAUAGAAGGAUCUUCUGCAAUUCUUUGGACCUGAAUACCAAAAAUGAAAUUUCCCACUUAUACAUAAGAAACUCUAAAACUUUCCGCAUUAAGCAUAAGGAAUCAGUCUAACGAGCAAAACUAUGAGAUUUCGGAAUCGAAUCCCAGUCAAACUCAAUAACUACUAAGUCUGCUAAACUAUUUGAAAUUGAUUGUAUGAAUCUUCUUUUGCUAUUCAGUUCUGUUUGAAACAAUUUCACAUCCAUAUAAUUAAGAAAAAAAAUCCCAGUUGAACCCAAUGGAGAAAAAAAAAAGUAUAAGCAAUCAUUAAUUUGAGGCAGUUGUUACCUUCUUCUUGACAGGGCAGCUUGGGGCAAAUGAGCACUUAAAGUAAGCCCUAGGAGAAGGGUUGUCUCUUGUAACCUUUUGGCCAUAUUUCCUCCAUUGAUAUCCAUCCUUCACAACUAGGCUAGUGUCGGAUGGAUUGGUCCGAAGAAAAACUCUUGAAAUCUUUGUUUUGAUGCUUCCCUUUGGCUUUUCAGUUGAAUCUAUUUCAUCACUAGAGCUGCUUUCUGUAGUUCCAUUAUUGAUUCCCAUCUCAGCCUUUCUCUUCCUAGAUGUUGCGAGCUCCUUCUCAGAGUUCUUGCUCAUCAAAUCAGCAAAUUGGUUUUGCAAAGCGUUGUAAUUUUCGCAGAGAACAGUAAGCAUUUCUGUUAGCUUCUUGUUCUCAGCACUUAACCUAGUCAACUCUUCAACCAAAAAGCUAGCCUCUUCUUUAACACGUAGUUUCUGUUCAAACCCAUCAACAAAAUCUCCUUCCGAUUCUUUCUUCGGAGCAGUUGCAUCAAUAUUCUUGCAGAAAGGACUGAUGUUGAGGUCAAGGGAAGUGUUAACCCAAGUGGAGUCCAUUACAAUGGAAAGAAAGGAUAUACGUGCAAGAAGCAAAUUGAGAAAUUGAAUUGAAGAAGGAGAUGGUCAAGCAAAUGAGAGAAAAACUUGAAUAUAUAGAAGAGAAAAGGAUCGGAAAGGAAAGAAAAUGAAGGUGUUGUGAGGAGGCAAGGAAAGCUAGUGGAAAGAGCGGAUGAGAGAGCAGUCACUGGUGGGGAAGGAGACAUGAGACAUUAUCUUGGAAUCGACAGCUUCAUAUGGGAAGAAAAGGUUGUCCACUUUCCUUAAUUUUAUAGUUAGAUAAAGAAGAAAGUCAUUUACGUCGGUUGUGAAAUGCAAAUAAUAUUUGAAUUCUUG
rnacentral:misc_RNA from 1 species